rnacentral:rRNA from 1 species
CGCCCAAGAGUUCACAUCGACGGCGGUGUUUGGCACCUCGAUGUCGGCUCAUCACAUCCUGGGGCUGAAGCCGGUCCCAAGGGUAUGGCUGUUCGCCAUUUAAAGUGGUACGCGAGCUGGGUUCAGACCGGCGUGAGCCAGGUCGGUCCCUAUCUGCUGUGGUCGUUGCAAUACUGACAGGAUUUCUCCCUAGUACGAGAGGAUUGGGAGGGACCCACCCCUGGUGUGCCAGCUGGACCGCUCGGUCCAUCGCUGGGUAGCUAAGUGGGGCAGGGAUAACCGCUGAAAGCAUCUAAGCGGGAAGCCCACCUGGAGAUGAGUAUUGCUGACUCGCCUUGAGCGAGUGUGAGACCCCCGGAAGACCACCGGGUUGAUAGGCCGGAUGUGUAAGGGCAGAGAUGUCCUCAGCUAACC